GAUGAACGCUGGCGGUAUGCCUAACACAUGCAAGUCGUACGAGAGUUUUUAACUCUAGUGGCGGACGGGUGAGUAACACGUGAGAAUUUGCCUUUAGGAGGGGGAUAACAAUUGGAAACGAAUGCUAAUACCCCAUAUGCUUUUGAGUGAAAUGGAUUUUAUCCGCCUAGAGAGAAGCUCGCGGCUGAUUAGCUUGUUGGUAAGGUAAGAGCUUACCAAGGCGACGAUCAGUAUCUGGUUUGAGAGGACGAUCAGCCACACUGGGACUGAGACACGGCCCAGACUCCUACGGGAGGCAGCAGUGGGGAAUAUUGCACAAUGGACGAAAGUCUGAUGCAGCAACGCCGCGUGAGGGAUGAAGGCCUGGUGUAACUCUUUAGCAGGAGAAGCGAAGUGACGGUACCUGCAGAAAAGACACCGGCUAACUACGUG
rnacentral:rRNA from 1 species